UGGGGAAUAUUGCACAAUGGGCGCAAGCCUGAUGCAGCCAUGCCGCGUGUAUGAAGAAGGCCUUCGGGUUGUAAAGUACUUUCAGCCGGGAGGAAGGUGGUAAGGUUAAUAACCUUAUCAAUUGACGUUACCGACAGAAGAAGCACCGGCUAACUCCGUGCCAGCAGCCGCGGUAAUACGGAGGGUGCAAGCGUUAAUCGGAAUUACUGGGCGUAAAGCGCACGCAGGCGGUUGAUUGAGUCAGAUGUGAAAUCCCCGGGCUUAACCCGGGAAUUGCAUCUGAUACUGGUCAGCUAGAGUCUUGUAGAGGGGGGUAGAAUUCCAUGUGUAGCGGUGAAAUGCGUAGAGAUGUGGAGGAAUACCGGUGGCGAAGGCGGCCCCCUGGACAAAGACUGACGCUCAGGUGCGAAAGCGUGGGGAGCAAACAGG
rnacentral:rRNA from 1 species